CCAGGGGAAGCUCUCUCUCUCUUUUUUUCAACGGCUCAGUACACCAUUGAGCCAUCCACAGCUGAAGUCUCGCUGAAGAUACAACACAGUAAACCCUACGAAAUGACUCAAGAGAGCAAAAUAACACUGCGGCCUUAAGUUCAUCCCAAGAAGCCUUGUAAAAGACCUGAAGAGGGCCCCUGACCCCACUGUGAAUUAGGGGAGAUCGGCUUCAGUGGUAACUCUUCAAUGACAGCCUGAGUCCCGCCCAACAUCAGCUGUAGCAAUAGGCUACAUGUGUAUGCUUAAAAUGAUUACCUACCUAUACUUGCAUAAGUAAAGGUAAGAAGAAGAAGAAGAAGAAGAAGAAGAAGAAGAAGAAGAAGAAGAAGAAAAAUAGGCUACACUGAUCAUCAAGAAAAAGUUAACACAUACAACUGACCCCAUGCUCCUUUAUUUUAUGCAUUUUCAGAGCAAGAAGUUCCUAAAAGUCAUAUAAUUAAACCAUUACAGAUUACAAAAAAAUCAUUAAUAUUAGAGCAAAGUACCACAGCACUUUAUGUUUCUAUAAGAAUAUUAUAUUACAUUAUGAUUGGCUACCAAAAUAAAAAGUACCAUGCAACAAUGUCAGUGUAAACCAGAUCCUACAAGAACAUCACUGCUUGAGAAUGUCAGGAUUUUUCAUUUUUCACUUCACUUGAACAAAGCUAAAAUACAUCCUCCAGGGGUGGAAGAAGUAUUUUACUUAAGUAAAAGUACCAAUGCCACAAUAAGUAG